rnacentral:rRNA from 1 species
GUGUCAGCCGCCGCGGUAAUACGUAGGUGGCAAGCUUUGUCCGGAAUUACUGGGCGUAAAGGGUGCGCAGGCGGACAUUUAAGUGAGAUGUGAAAGACCCGGGCUUAACUUGGGCAGUGCAUUUCAAACUGGAUGUCUGGAGUGCAGGAGAGGAGAACGGAAUUCCUAGUGUAGCGGUGAAAUGCGUAGGGAUUAGGAAGAACAGCAGUGGCGAAGGCGGUUCUCGGGACAGUAACUGAAGAUGAGGCACGAAAGCGGGGGUAGCAAACAGGAUUAGAUACCCUGGUAGUCCACGCCGUAAACGAUGAGUACUAGGUGUAGGAGGUAUCGACCCCUUCUGUGCCGCAGUAAACACAAUAAGUACUCCGACUGGGAAGUACGAUCGCAAGAUUAAAACUUAAAUGAAUUGGCGG